UAGUUUGAUCCGUGCUACAGAACGACGCUGGCGGCGCGCCCUAAUACAUGCAAGUCGAACGAGAAUGUGUAGCAAUACACAUGUACAGUGGCGAACGGGUGAGGAAUACAUGGGUAACCUACCUCGAUGGGGAAUAACUAGCCGAAAGGUUAGCUAAUACCGCGUACGCUUCCCGGACUGCGGUUCGGGAAGGAAAGCGAUACCGUGGGUAUCGCGCUCUUGGAUGGGCUCAUGCCCUAUCAGCUUGUUGGUGAGGUAACGGCUCACCAAGGCUUCGACGGGUAGCUGAUCUGAGAGGAUGAUCAGCCACACUGGCACUGCGACACGGGCCAGACUCCUACGGGAGGCAGCAGUAAGGAAUAUUGCGCAAUGGGCGAAAGCCUGACGCAGCGACGCCGCGUGGGGGAUGAAGGUCUUCGGAUUGUAAACCCUUUCGGGAGGGAAGAUGGGAUGGGGUAACCCAUUCGGACGGUACCUCCAGAAGCAGCCACGGCUAACUUCGUG
rnacentral:rRNA from 1 species